ensembl:snRNA
GUGUUGUAUGAAAGGAGAGGCUAGAACUCUUGAAAGGAUGGGAAGGUCCUAAUUACUAAUACAACACAUUUAUGGUUAAGAUAUUGCUAUGCAUUUUGUGGUAUCUAAUCAUGGUAUUAC